CUGUUGGCGUUGCCAAGACUAGGAGAAUUCCAACAUUAAAAGGAAAUUGGAUUUUUUGCAUUUAUAUCAAAGAGAGAAUGGAAAGACUAAAUAUAUUUACUCUAAAAUCGCUAAAUGUUUUAUACUGGUUCAACCCAGCUGUGUAUAUAUUGGCGAUUACAUCAUGAAAUGCAAUAUGCAUUUGUUAAUUUAAUAGGCCUAUUAUGUCUAUUAUAAUCAUGACAGAGAAUUUCCGAUUGGGGAAUUUUAAAAUUUUAAAUGAGUUCACCAAACUAAUUAUUAGAAUUGAGUGUUAAAAAAGAACGUAUAAGAACGUUAAAACAUACUUCAGUUUAGUAUUCAUUAAACAUACUUACCCACCUAAUGACGUCACACGUUGUGCUGAAUCAGCAAUUUUGUAAGACAUAAGCUACUUCGUUCCCGCGAACUGUAACCUGUUUAACACUGAUUAGAAUACUCGAAUAUUCCUAAUUACGAUUUGAAAUUCUAAAAGCAGAUUAUAGUGUGUCUUUGCCAACUUUUUGACAGCAUUUCCAAACCACCAUUAAGUUCGAUUAACGACAUGCAUAACGUGGCCAAUGUUAAUGUGCAUGGUAUCAUUUUACUAUGCAUGCAGUUAUGCUAGUGUUUCAGCCACAAUAACAAUUUAUAUAUUUAUUAUGUAUUAACAAACUGAUAUUCUUACCGUUUAAAUAGUAAACAAAUGUUGGCUUGUAUCAAUAUUUUACUUCCAAAUUCGCUGUUAUACAACACACAAUCACAGCAGCACGGCAAAGAGUUUAUUAAGUGUCAACACAGAAUAGCCGCCCUUUAUACAUCCGGUUUUUGAGUCAUGCGAGGCUGAUUUAAU